UACGAAGGUGUCAAACGUUGUCCGGAAUAACUGGGCGUAAAGGGCGCGUAGGCGGUUUGAAAAGUCAGAUGUGAAAGCUCUGGGCUCAACCCAGGAAUUGCAUUUGAAACUCUCAGACUCGAGUUCGGUAGAGGAGGGCGGAAUUCCAGGUGUAGCGGUGAAAUGCGUAGAUAUCUGGAGGAACACCCGUGGCGAAGGCGGCUCUCUGGUCCGAUACUGACGCUGAGGCGCGAAAGGUAGGGUAGCAAACAGG
rnacentral:rRNA from 1 species